CAAAAGUUUGGUCCUGACUUUAGUAUCAACUUUAGCUAGACUUACACAUGCAAGUAUCCGCAACCCCGUGAGAAUGCCCUUACGUCCUCCACCACGAAGACAAGGAGCUGGUAUCAGGCACAUCCCUACAUUAUAGCCCAAGACACCUUGCUUAGCCACCCCCUCAAGGGAAUCCAGCAGUGAUAAACAUUAAGCCAUAAGUGAAAACUUGACUUAGUUAAGCUAGACUGGGCCGGUAAAUCUCGUGCCAGCCACCGCGGUUAUACGAGAGACCCAAGUUGAUGCACACCGGCGUAAAGAGUGGUUAGUCAAGACUUUUAAAAUAAAGCCGAACACCCUCAGAGCUGUUAUAAGCAUCCGAAGGUACGAAGUUCAAUCACGAAAGUAGCUUUAAAUCACAUGACCCCACGAAAGCUAGGGCACAAACUGGGAUUAGAUACCCCACUAUGCCUAGCUGUAAACAUAGAUAGCCAUCGCUACCCUGCUAUCCGCCUGGGGACUACGAGCGUAAGCUUAAAACCCAAAGGACUUGGCGGUGCUUUAGAUCCACCUAGAGGAGCCUGUUCUAUAACCGAUAACCCCCGUCUAACCUCACCCUUCCUUGUUCUUCCCGCCUAUAUACCGCCGCCGUCAGCUUACCCUGUGAAGGAUCCAUAAUAAGCAAAAUUGGCACAGCCCAAAACGUCAGGUCGAGGUGUAGCGUAUGGAAGGGGAAGAAAUGGGCUACAUUCACUGAAACAGUGAAUACAGAUGGCAUGAUGAAACACAUGCCUGAAGGAGGAUUUAGCAGUAAGCAGGAAAUAGAGUGUCCCGCUGAAAUCGGCCCUGAAGCGCGUACAUACCGCCCGUCACUCUCCCCGAACCUUAAUAUAAACCUAAAUACCUAAACACCUAUAAUACUCCUAGGGGAGGCAAGUCGUAACAUGGUAAGUGUACCGGAAGGUGUACUUGGAAUAAA
rnacentral:ncRNA from 1 species